CUGUUGCCUGAAGCCACACCCCUGGGCCGUUCUAAGCCCCGCCCACUGGACAAUACACUGCAGUGCAGUGCUCCCCGCCUGGGUCAUCUGUGAGGUGUUCUGCAGCUGCGGUUUGAGAAAUGGAGUCCCGACUGAAAAGAUCAUCUUGUGUGGGCAGGCCAUUGGGACGGCAGCUGCAGUGGACCUUGCCAGCCGCUACAAAUGUGCUGCAGUAAUCCUACACUCGCGGGUUUUCUGUCCUAACAUACGGAGGACCUGCUGCUGUGACCCCUUUCCCAGCCUCCCAGGAAUAGACUCACAUAUCAAUACAAGGGCAGGUUCUUGCUAUCUCUUCAGGCUGUUACCAUGGAUACCAGGAGAAUUCUGUAAUGUCUCAAUAUAGAAUAUAUUACAUAUUUGUGUUACCCAUCAUUGUACCGUGCUCUGGAAUGUGCUGUUUUAUAAACAACAAUAUAUUAUUAUAAGAAUUAACUUUUAUCGGACGCGCAUGGCUUUACCCCCCCCCCCCCUCCCCCUCCUUAUUUUCUUUUUUUCUCUCCUCUUCUUUACCCCCUUUACCCCCUCUCCCUCCUCUUUCUUUGCUUCCUGUAAUUUCCAUCUGAUUAGAUUUUAAAUUGCAAUCAUCUAUUGUAUACUGAUAAAUUAUAACAAAAAAUCAACAAGAGACUGUAAUAGUUCAACAUGAUUUUUUUUUUUUUAUUGAUCUCUGAUGUCAAUGAUAUACUUUUACAGCAAAAAAUCGCUAUGUAUAUCUGUG